CCUACGGGAGGCAGCAGUGGGGAAUAUUGCACAAUGGGGGAAACCCUGAUGCAGCGACGCCGCGUGAGUGAAGAAGUAUUUCGGUAUGUAAAGCUCUAUCAGCAGGGAAGAAAAUGACGGUACCUGACUAAGAAGCCCCGGCUAACUACGUGCCAGCAGCCGCGGUAAUACGUAGGGGGCAAGCGUUAUCCGGAUUUACUGGGUGUAAAGGGAGCGUAGACGGCAGCGCAAGUCUGAAGUGAAAUCCCAGGGCGUAAACAUGGAACUGCUUUGGAAACUGUGCAGCUGGAGUGCAGGAGAGGUAAGCGGAAUUCCAGGUGUAGCGGUGAAAUGCGUAGAUAUUAGGAGGAACACCAGUGGCGAAGGCGGGUUACUGGACUGUAACUGACGUUGAGGCUCGAAAGCGUGGGGAGCAAACAGGAUUAGAUACCCUAGUAGUC
rnacentral:rRNA from 1 species